rnacentral:snRNA from 1 species
GAGCUCACUUCAGCAACACAUGCACUAAGACUGCAGUAUACAGAGAAGAUUAGCAUAGUCCCUGAACAAGGAUGUCACGCAAACUCUUGGAACAUUCCUCUUUUUU